GACGUAGGGAGCGAGCGUUGUCCGGAUUUACUGGGCGUAAAGAGCACGUAGGCGGUCCGUUAAGUGUGAAGUGAAAUCUCCAGAGCUCAACUCGGAAACUGCUUCGCAUACUGGCGGACUUGAGGAAUGCAGAGGUGAAUAGAAUUCCCGGUGUAGCGGUGAAAUGCGUAGAUAUCGGGAGGAAUACCCAUGGCGAAGGCAGUUCACUGGGCAUUAUCUGACGCUGAGGUGCGAAAGCGUGGGGAGCAAACAGG
rnacentral:rRNA from 1 species